rnacentral:rRNA from 1 species
UACAGAGGGUGCGAGCGUUGUCCGGAAUCAUUGGGCGUAAAGCGCGUGUAGGCGGCCAGAAAAGUUGAGUGUGAAAGCCCUCGGCUUAACCGAGGAAGUGCGCCCAAAACUGUUUGGCUUGAGUACCGGAGAGGAUGGUGGAAUUCCCGGUGUAGAGGUGAAAUUCGUAGAUAUCGGGAGGAACACCAGUGGCGAGGGCGGCCAACUGGACGAGUACUGACGCUGAGACACGAAAGCGUGGGGAGCAAACAGG